AGCGAACGCUGGCGGCAGGCUUAACACAUGCAAGUCGAGCGGGCACUUCGGUGUCAGCGGCAGACGGGUGAGUAACACGUGGGAACGUACCCUUCGGUUCGGAAUAACGCUGGGAAACUAGCGCUAAUACCGGAUACGCCCUUUUGGGGAAAGGUUUACUGCCGAAGGAUCGGCCCGCGUCUGAUUAGCUAGUUGGUUGGGUAAUGGCCUACCAAGGCGACGAUCAGUAGCUGGGCUGAGAGGAUGAUCAGCCACACUGGGACUGAGACACGGCCCAGACUCCUACGGGAGGCAGGAGUGGGGAAUAUUGGAAAAUGGGCGCAAGCCUGAUGCAGCCAUGCCGGGUGAGUGAUGAAGGCCUUAGGGUUGUAAAGCUCUUUUGUCCGGGACGAUAAUGACGGUACCGGAAGAAUAAGCCCCGGCUAACUUCGUG
rnacentral:rRNA from 1 species